CCCAGACCUGAGCUCCAGUGGCCCCCAAGUAAAUUGAGUUUGAGACCCCUGUUCUAAAGGAAUAACCUCACUCUUUUGGACCAUCCUGCAUCCAAUCCAAUUGGGAACAUUUGGGAACAGAUGGCAAGGGAAGUUUACUCGUCAGAGCCCCAGCUGGCUGGACCUUACAUAAUUGCACAGCCUCACCCAGACCCUAGCUCCAGUGGCCCCCAGGUGAGGAUGUGGCCUGCUGUGUCCAAGCUUGGGGGAAGUUUACGCUGAAUUCCCCCCAUCCGACCCGCACUUCCUGCUAUGAGC